rnacentral:rRNA from 1 species
AGUGAACGCUGGCGGUAGGCCUAACACAUGCAAGUCGAACGGCAGCACAGUAAGAGCUUGCUCUUACGGGUGGCGAGUGGCGGACGGGUGAGGAAUACAUCGGAAUCUACUUUUUCGUGGGGGAUAACGUAGGGAAACUUACGCUAAUACCGCAUACGACCUACGGGUGAAAGCAGGGGAUCUUCGGACCUUGCGCGAUUGAAUGAGCCGAUGUCGGAUUAGCUAGUUGGCGGGGUAAAGGCCCACCAAGGCGACGAUCCGUAGCUGGUCUGAGAGGAUGAUCAGCCACACUGGAACUGAGACACGGUCCAGACUCCUACGGGAGGCAGCAGUGGGGAAUAUUGGACAAGGGGCGCAAGCCUGAUCCAGCCAUACCGCGUGGGUGAAGAAGGCCUUCGGGUUGUAAAGCCCUUUUGUUGGGAAAGAAAAGCAGCAGGUUAAUACCCCGCUGUCCUGACGGUACCCAAAGAAUAAGCACCGGCUAACUUCGUG